CCUACGGGUGGCUGCAGUGAGGAAUAUUGGUCAAUGGACGAGAGUCUGAACCAGCCAAGUAGCGUGAAGGAUGACUGCCCUACGGGUUGUAAACUUCUUUUAUAUGGGAAUAAAAUGUUCCACGUGUGGGAUUUUGUAUGUACCAUAUGAAUAAGGAUCGGCUAACUCCGUGCCAGCAGCCGCGGUAAUACGGAGGAUCCGAGCGUUAUCCGGAUUUAUUGGGUUUAAAGGGAGCGUAGGUGGAUUGUUAAGUCAGUUGUGAAAGUUUGCGGCUCAACCGUAAAAUUGCAGUUGAAACUGGCAGUCUUGAGUACAGUAGAGGUGGGCGGAAUUCGUGGUGUAGCGGUGAAAUGCUUAGAUAUCACGAAGAACUCCGAUUGCGAAGGCAGUUCACUAGACUGCAACUGACACUGAGGCUCGAAAGUGUGGGUAUCAAACAGGAUUAGAUACCCGAGUAGUC
rnacentral:rRNA from 1 species